UACGUAGGAGGCAAGCGUUGUCCGGAAUUACUGGGCGUAAAGCGCGUGUAGGUGGUGGGACAAGUCUGCUGUGAAAGCGCCUGGCUUAACCGGGCGAGGUCGGCGGAAACUGUCCGACUCGAGGACGGUAGAGGGGGGUGGAAUUCCCGGUGUAGUGGUGAAAUGCGUAGAGAUCGGGAGGAACACCUGUGGCGAAGGCGGCCAUCGUGGACGAGGACUGACGCUGAGAGUGCGAAAAGCGUGG
rnacentral:rRNA from 1 species